rnacentral:lncRNA from 1 species
UAGGAAUUCUGAUUGCCAUGUUGAUAUGCCCACUACCCCAACUCCCUCUUCCUCUGGUCUUCGCUUGCCUAAACAUAGCUCCAAAUCUUCCAAGGUAAAAAAAGUUUCAAUCUUUAUGUUUUUUUUUCGUUUGGUUUAUUUGGAUUACUCUUCGUUAAGAUAAUUACACAAGGUAGAUAAUUUCUUGUUUAUAUUUUAUGUCUUCACUUAAAACAUAUCCAAGGGGAUGUGCCUUGGUGUAUGCUUUUGCUGAUGAUAUAGCAUUGAUAGACGAGACGAGGGUUGGUGUUAGUGAAAGGUUAGAGGUGUGGAGACAGACCCUCGA